UGGAUAACCUACCUAUAAGACUGGGAUAACUUCGGGAAACCGGAGCUAAUACCGGAUAAUAUUUUGAACCGCAUGGUUCAAAAGUGAAAGACGGUCUUGCUGUCACUUAUAGAUGGAUCCGCGCUGCAUUAGCUAGUUGGUAAGGUAACGGCUUACCAAGGCAACGAUGCAUAGCCGACCUGAGAGGGUGAUCGGCCACACUGGAACUGAGACACGGUCCAG
rnacentral:rRNA from 1 species